ensembl:lncRNA
AUAGUAUUAAUGGGGCUGGAGGAGUGUUGGAGAAGCAGGAAUCGUACUGCAUGGAGUUGAGUGGCACUUAGGCUCUUGAUUAAUAAAGACAAGGCAGCCAGCCCUUCCACAAAAAAGAAAUAAUUUCAUUUGCAGUGGCUGCCUCUUUAAAGGGGUGAACGCCGAAAGCUGGGGUUUUGAACAGUGUUUCGUGGCUGAGCCUGCACAUGCCACGUUGUCCAACGUCCAUGGGGAGACGCUUGAAGAACCCUCUGACCCGUUGCCGACGCAAAAACCAGUUGUGUGUGUGUGUGUGGGACAGAGAGGGAUGGGGAGGGAAGGAUAAAGAGAGAAUGAAAAAGAAAACAAACGCAGACCCGCUCUUCUAAUGAGACAGCUCAGAUUUUUCCCAUCUGGACUUUCCCCUCAGUUUCCCGGAUGUCCUUGAGAAUAAUUUCACUUUUCCCACAUCAUAUGUAAAAUCAGACGUGUGGGUGUGCACCCCUGGGCACGCACCAGCCUUUCCGUCCAGCUCACUUGUAUAAAUGAUUGCACGAUGGGCUGAAUUUUAACGCUCUUGGACAGCCAGAUGAAUUAAAUGAGCCCUUUUCUGCUGAUUCCACUUGGCUUAGCUCAUUUUAUUUUGCUUGCUUUCUUGUUUGGGUGUCGGAUGUCCCAGCCCUCUCAUGUGCACAUACAUUUGGUUUCUGACUAAUAUGAGGUCUCCGUCAGAGAAACAGCCUUUGUCGUUUCAAAUCCAGCAGGUCUUAGACUCGGGUCGUGACUCAGCUACCACAAACUGUAUGCAGAGGAGACCACAAAUUCCUCCGGUCCAUGAUUUGAAAGGUUACCUGGUCUUCUCCUGCUCUUGUUCCACGGAUAACAGAAGAAGAGAUUAACUCUGUGGUCAGAUAACUCCACUGCCUCUUUAUUGUCUCAUUUGGACCAAUACUAUAGCCCAGGGAACAUGUUCCCUAAUGAGCCCUAUCUGUGAUAACUGAUGUGUGCUGGAAGAAGAGAGGAGUGGAGCGCAACUUCACGCGCAUUACAGGGAAAAAAUGUAAACCUCCCUACUAUUUUGGGAACAGGAGUACAGCCCACAUUUUGCCAUGAGAUUUGGCCACAGCACACAUUUCUGUCUGCAUCUGAACUGAAAGUCUGGAUAGCCUAUGAAGAAAGUCAUCGUGAUAUAACAAAAACACAUCUCAGGAGAGGAAUCGUUUAUCUCUGGUCAGAUGCAGCUGCUGAUAUGCCUUUGACAUGUUGAGGUAAGGACAUUUGUUGCGUCCCUGACCCUUACAUUGUUACGUCCCUGGUGACCUUUCUACAGAAAAAAAAAUGAUGGAUUUGGAGAGGUGAAACAAUCUAAAACAUGACCAUCUUCUCACCUGCAUGUUUGGUUAUUUACUCUAUGAAGUAAUGUAACAUCAUGACCAAC